ACAGCUAGAAGGUGCCACCCCGAGCCUGAAAGUAGGCCCUCACCAGACACUGAAUCUGCUCCACUUUGGUCUUGGACUUCUCAACCUCCAGAACCGUGAGAAAGAAAUUUCUGUUAUUUAAAAGGUUCCUAGAUGCUGGCAAUGCCAGGAUGGAUGAAUUACUUUCCUUGGCCCGGAGAGCCUCACCGUCUAGAAAGAGAUACAGACGUGCAAAUAAUUGCAAGAGAUUCCUCCAGGCAGCUGAGUGCACCUUCUGCAUACCUUUGAUAUCUAAUAUUCAAGUCAUAUCCCAGCCCUUGCUCCCCACAAGCAGACAGAACCAAGAAUUCUUCAACCUCUUCUGUCCUGAGACCCUGCCUGGGGCUCUCCUGAUUCUCUCAGCCACCAAGCUCACCUCCCAGUCUGUACUUUGGGCUUUUCCUCUCUCUGCAGGUAUGAAGUGGUCUACUCUGUUGCCGCAUCUUGUCUUGGGCUCUAUUAGGGGCUGAACCAUGUCCCCCACAAUCAAUCCUGAGUACCUCUGAAUGUAACCAUAUUUGGAGAUAAGAUCUUUAACGAGGUGAUUAAGUCAAAAUGAGGCCUUUAGGGUGGGGACCUAAUCCAAUAUGACUGGUGUCCUUACAAAAGAAGAGCCACCCGGGAUGCAUGCCUGCAUCACACACAGAAAAGGCCAUGUGGGGACGCAGGGAGAAGGCGGCCGGCUGCAAGCCAAGGAGAGAGGUCUCGGGAGAAACCAACACUGCCAAAAUCUUGAUCUUGGACUUCUAGCCUCCAGAACUGUGAGAAGGGUUUCUGGCUGAUAAAGGUAUAUAGGAGGUUCUGAAAUGUUAUUGAGUGAAUGAAUAAAUUAGCACUAGAAAAAAAGCAUGGACUUUGGAAGAGGACCAGAAUUUAAAACCAGACUAGAAGUGUAGAGUUGGGGGAACUCAACCCAUUUCCCACCACUUCCAUCGACCUCCUGUGGCAUCCUAAUGUUCAGAAGGAGAAGAACAUUCUAGAAGGAGAACAAAAUUCUAUCAGCAAGAAGUAUAAUACUCUUGUGCCAAAGGUGUGCACAAUCAGCCAAGUGACCUGAGAAAUGCAAGUCCUGGCUCUAUUGAGGUCAUCAAGGAGAAAGCAAGCCGCUGGCAAGUCAGGAAUCUGUCUCAAAGUAAACAUGUGGCUUGUGACCUUGAGGAUGUGCGUAUGUUUAUUGUUGGGGCAGUUGCUUUUUCCUUAUCUCUCACCAGCUCUCAAAAGACCUGUUUAAGUUUUCUGUAAGAGGAUAUAUCUCAUGUGCAGUUGCAAAUAUGCUUCUUUAUUCUUCUCUGGCUAAUAAUUAUCAAAGUUACAGUCAUGAAUAUUCACCUUCUCAGGCUGCUCUGUCAGAGAUUUUUCUGGGUGGGCAUGGUGGUUCACACCUGUAAUUCCAGCACUUUGGGAGGCGGAGGUGGGCGGAUCAUUUGAGGUCACGAGUUCAAGACCAGCCUGGACAACAUGGUGAAACCUCGUCUCUACUAAAAAUACAAAAAUUAGCCAGGCGUGGUGGUGUGGGCCUGUAAUUACCACUACUCAGGAGGCUGAGGCAGGAGAAUCACUUGAACCUGAGAGGUGGAGGUUGCAGUGUCCCAAGAUCACACCACUGCACUCCAGCCUGGGCAACAGCAUGAGACUCCACCUCAAAAAAAAAAAAGAGAUUUGUCUUAAAGCUGUGAGCCAUAAGGCUGGGCACAGUGGUUCACGUCUGUAAUCCCAGCAUUUUGGGAGGUCGAGGUGGGGGGACCGCUUGAGCCCAGAAGUUCA
rnacentral:lncRNA from 1 species